rnacentral:rRNA from 1 species
GUGAACGCUGGCGGUAGGCCUAACACAUGCAAGUCGAACGGCAGCACAGUAAGAGCUUGCUCUUACGGGUGGCGAGUGGCGGACGGGUGAGGAAUACAUCGGAAUCUACUUUUUCGUGGGGGAUAACGUAGGGAAACUUACGCUAAUACCGCAUACGACCUACGGGUGAAAGCAGGGGAUCUUCGGACCUUGUGCGAUUGAAUGAGCCGAUGUCGGAUUAGCUAGUUGGCGGGGUAAAGGCCCACCAAGGCGACGAUCCGUAGCUGGUCUGAGAGGAUGAUCAGCCACACUGGAAAUGAGACACGGUCCAGACUCCUACGGGAGGCAGCAGUGGGGAAUAUUGGACAAUGGGCGCAAGCCUGAUCCAGCCAUACCGCGUGGGUGAAGAAGGCCUUCGGGUUGUAAAGCACUUUUGUUGGGAAAGAAAAGCAGCAGGUUAAUACCCCGCUGUUCUGACGGUACCCAAAGAAUAAGCACCGGCUAACUUCGUG